ensembl:lncRNA
AUCAUCCAAUUAAUUGACCAGAUGGAUAUAAGAACAUUCUUUAGGAGAGGUGGCAGCUCCGCCCAGUCAGAUGAGAGAGAGAAGCAGGAGAUUGACAGGACUGAAGGAGCCGGUGUGAUGGAGGUUAGUGGUCUACAGGUCUAGAAGGAAAUGAAUCGAGUUUUUUUUAUUUUCUUCUACUGUGGUAGAAAUGUAUAGGCAUAUGUUGUCAGGCCUAGGCUACUCCAAGGGUUAGCCUAAACUAGAUUAUUACAUGAUAUUUUUAUGCCAAGUCAUAAAAUUGGCUUCUGGAUUUCGAUCAGUUAAUGUUUCAAUGUUUGAACGUAUCUUAAAGGGUCAUGCAGAAGGAGAGGCUGAGGCAAGGAGUCAGAGAGAGGAAGAGACAGACCAAGCAGCUGCAGCAACUAAUGAUUUAGUGUCUCCCUCUAAUGGAGAGAAUAGUGCAGGUACAUGGGGCAGGACUCGAGCAUGGCUGGACUCAAGGACACAACAGAAUAGGGCGCCCCCCUGAAAGGCCGUGGAGAGCCCUCUGUCUUGACCUGAGUGAGAGCUCUCUGGUGGAGUGGGAAUCCAUCUUGGACAUCAGAGUGCUCCUCAUAGUAGUGAUCUGACCAACUCUUCAGAGAGAGAAGUCCAAGCAGCAAUAAGGAGUUCUGAUCCAAAACAAGCGUACUACCUAAAAGGCAUGCAAAAACCUUGCAAACACCACCAACAUCCCAGUUGACACUGGCAGAAGCUUGCCAACACACUAACUGGUGUCAUUUUAUAGCUGCAGCAUUAUAGCUGGCAAUGUCAUGCUGUGAAAGCUUUUCUUCCAUUUUUGCAGGGUGUUCCAGCCCGG